AGUGAACGCUGGCGGUAGGCCUAACACAUGCAAGUCGAACGGCAGCACAGUAAGAGCUUGCUCUUACGGGUGGCGAGUGGCGGACGGGUGCGGAAUACAUCGGAAUCUACUUUUUCGUGGGGGAUAACGUAGGGAAACUUACGCUAAUACCGCAUACGACCUCCGGGUGAAAGCAGGGGAUCUUCGGACCUUGCGCGAUUGUAUGAGCCGAUGUCGGAUUAGCUCGUUGGCGGGGUAAAGGCCCACCAAGGCGACGAUCCGUAGCUGGUCUGAGAGGAUGAUUAGCCACACUGGAACUGAGACACGGUCCAGACUCCUACGGGAGGAAGCAGUGGGGAAUAUUGGACAAUGGGGGAAAGCCUGAUCCAGCCAUACCGCGUGAGUGAAGAAGGCCUUCGGGUUGUAAAACCCUUUUGUUGGGAAAGAAAAGCAGCAGGUUAAUACCCCGCUGUUCUGACGGUACCCAAAGAAUAAGCACCGGCUAACUUCGUG
rnacentral:rRNA from 1 species